rnacentral:rRNA from 1 species
AAUGAACGUUGGCGGCGUGGAUUAGGCAUGCAAGUCGUGCGGCAGCAGGCCCCGCAAGGGGUGCUGGCGAGCGGCGAAAGGGAUAGUAAUGUGUGGAUACCUGCCCUGGGGACGGGGAUAGCUGCUGGAAACGGCAAUUAAUACCCGAUGAUGUCUCCGGACCAAAGGUGUAAUUCCGCCCUAGGAGGGGUCCACAUCCUAUUAGCUAGUUGGUGAGGUAACGGCUCACCAAGGCCACGAUGGGUAGCGGGUGUGAGAGCACGACCCGCAUCACUGGGACUGAGACACUGCCCAGACACCUACGGGUGGCUGCAGUCGAGGAUCUUCGGCAAUGAGCGAAAGCUUGACCGAGCGACGCCGCGUGCGGGAUGAAGGCCUUCGGGUUGUAAACCGCUUUCGGAGGGGAGGAAAUCUAGGGGGGAUCACCCUUCUAGUUGGCCUAUCCUAGGAAGAAGGACGGGCUAAGUUCGUGCCAGCCGCCGCAGUAACAC